rnacentral:rRNA from 1 species
AUUGAACGCUGGCGGCAGGCCUAACACAUGCAAGUCGAACGGUAGCACAGAGAGCUUGCUCUCGGGUGACGAGUGGCGGACGGGUGAGUAAUGUCUGGGAAACUGCCCGAUGGAGGGGGAUAACUACUGGAAACGGUAGCUAAUACCGCAUAACGUCGCAAGACCAAAGUGGGGGACCUUCGGGCCUCACACCAUCGGAUGUGCCCAGAGGGGAUUAGCUAGUAGGUGGGGUAAUGGCUCACCUAGGCGACGAUCCCUAGCUGGUCUGAGAGGAUGACCAGCCACACUGGAACUGAGACACGGUCCAGACUCCUACGGGAGGCAGCAGUGGGGAAUAUUGCACAAUGGGCGCAAGCCUGAUGCAGCCAUGCCGCGUGUAUGAAGAAGGCCUUCGGGUUGUAAAGUACUUUCAGCGGGGAGGAAGGCGGUGAAGUUAAUAGCUUCACCGAUUGACGUUACCCGCAGAAGAAGCACCGGCUAACUCCGUGCCAGCAGCCGCCGCAG